rnacentral:rRNA from 1 species
GGACGAACGCUGGCGGCGUGCCUAACACAUGCAAGUGGAGCGACGAACCGGGGCUUGCCCCGGGGCAGAGCCGCGAACGGGUGAGUAACACGUGGGUGACCUGCCCCGAUGACUGGGACAACCCGUCGAAAGACGGGCUAAUACCGGAUGUGCCCCUUGGGGGAAAGGAAGCUUCGGCCUCCGCAUCGGGAUGGGCCCGCGGCGCAUUAGCUUGUUGGUGGGGUAAUGGCUUACCAAGGCGACGAUGCGUAGCUGGUCUGAGAGGACGAUCAGCCACACUGGGACUGAGACACGGCCCAGACUCCUACGGGAGGCAGCAGUGGGGAAUCUUGCACAAUGCGCGAAAGCGUGAUGCAGCAACGCCGCGUGCGGGAAGAAGGCCUUAGGGUUGUAAACCGCUUUCAGUUGGGACGAGGCUUCGAUCGUGAAUAGCGGUUUGGAGUGACGGUACCUUCAGAAGAAGCGCCGGCUAACUACGUG